ensembl:lncRNA
CUGGGAUGGGACUGUGCUGCCCAGGGGAAUAGGUCCCAUGGGGACACAGUGAGGAGACAGAGUUGGUCUCUAGGUUCUGGUGACCUCAGGAGUAUCUGGGGACCCUAAGACCUGCUCCUGACCAUGACUGGAGGCUGCAUCCAGAUCACCCCAAGCCCCACAUAGAAGCCCCAUAGUGAGCUGUGACACCCCACAGCAUCCCCCUCUCUUGUAUCGCAGCCAAUAGGCAGCCUGUCAGCUCACCCCCUCCAACAGACAUUCCCCCACCCCAAGCCCAGACUGCGGUACCCAAGGGGGGACUGGGGCUGUGCUGGGAUCCCUUACCUGCAGCCACCUCGCCGGGAUGCUGCCGGCAGCUACACCGUGCUUGCACCUUGGCAGCGCCGCAGACCUUUGACUCCUGAAGUAAACAAGUUCGUCAAUGAUUAACUGCAAUUAAUGUGUCAGAAAUUGCUUUCUCCAUUCUCCUCCCUGUUUCUCACCAUCCAGCUCUGGCCCAGCCCAGUGACUGCUCCCCAACUCCAACCCCCUGUGCUGGGGACCAUCCCCAUGGCUCAGUCACCACAAACCACACCCUGAGGACUCUGCCUGUGGGGCUGCGGGGGGACCCCAAACCCGAGGGUCUGGGGAGAGGCUGCCUGGCAUCCCCUGGGCUGGGAGCAGUGAGGUCUCACCAGGACACAGGUGGGCACCGACCCAGUGGAGCUGCUGCUGGCCCCUGCGCAUCCCCUGCUGUGAGGUUCCCUCCCUGGGGGGGGCAGAGGGCUCAGCUCUGCCUCCCUGACCUACUUCGGCCCGCUGGGGACAAGGGUGGAUUGUGCCGCUCCGCUCAUGCAGAAGAGGGCUGAGAUGUGAGUGUGGGGGGGCACAGACACAGCCUGUCCUGGCUCUGCAGGACCUCCUGCCUGGCCCUCUUCACCCCUAUGCACCGGGGAGGAUCUGAGGGGUCUGGUUGCCUGCACAGCUCUGCAAGCCCCAGGCCACCCAGCCUGCUCCAAGGCCCUGCUCCACUUCAUGCCAAGGGCGAGGACUUAGGUGAAACUCUCGAGGGCCGGUCCAGGAUAGCCCCUAAUGCUGGAGAGUUGCUCUGCCCUCGGAUCCUCCAAAGUCCCUCAGAGCUGGUGCAGGACAUCCCGCUGCAAAACCUCCUGGACUGCCCUGCAACACCCCCAAUCCUUUCAAGGGUUGGCCUGGGGUGUCCCCAGCGCCUCCAUCCCCAUUCCUAUCCAGAUCCCCAUCCUAUCCCCAACUCCAUCCCUGUCCCUGAAACUGUCACCGUCCCCAUCCCGGAAUCCACCCCCAUUCCCGUUUCCAUCUCCAUCCCUCUCUGCAUCCCAAUCUCCAUUCCAAUCCCCAUCUCUCUCCCCGUUCCCGAUCCCAUGGCUAUUCCCAUCUCCAUCCCUACCCACAUUCACACCCCCGCCUCUCUCCCCCCCCCAUCCCCAUCCCCAUCCCCAUCCCCAUCCCCAUCCCCAUCCCCAUCCCCUUUCCUCCCUGUGCGCCGCCGCUCGGAGCAUUACGGCGCGCGCUCCCCGCAGCGUGUUUGUGCCGCGCCGCUUUUGGGCGCAGUACGGCGGCGGGGCCGGAGCGGACGCGCCCACAUCGGCGCGGCGCAGGGGGCGGCGCGGGGCGGCCGGUUCCAUCGGGGCGGGAGCGCGGGGGCGCCACGAGGCGGGGCCGAGGCCGGAGCGCGAGCGGCACCGGGACGGACACCGAGCCCGGCGGGCCCGGCCGCCGCGCCAUGCGAGCGGGCUGAGCCCGGAGCGCGGCCGGGGCAGGCACCGAGCGGCCCGCGAGCGGCGGGGGGCGGCGCCUCCGGUAGGUGCGGGGCGCGGUGCCGGGCCCGGACGCGGCGGGGGGCGGCGGAGCGGGGCAGGGCCGCAGGGCGCGCCGGGGGCGGGGGGCACGGCCCCGGUACCGGGAGGGCGUUCCGGCCGGGCCCGGCGGAGCGGAAGCGGGGCCGCCCUCGGGGCUCCUCGCUGCGCGCGGCCGGGCCGGGCUUCGUGCUCGGGCAGCGCCCCGUCCGUACCGCCCGGCGCCGAGCGGAGCGGCGGAACCGCUGCGGAAGUUGUGAGUGGGGACGGGGUCCGGAGCGCGGCCCCGCGCGUGGGGCGGUGCUGGCGGCCGUGCCGCGGCGUGGGACGCGCUGCGCUGCGGGGCCCGGCGGCCCCGUCCCGCCGCGCCGUGGGCCGAGCUCCGCGGGAACGCCGCGGGGCGCCGAGCCGUGCGGGCGGCCUAAGCGGGCCGGGGAUCGUGCGGGUGUCCGCGGCCCUGAGCGGCAUCGCCGCGUUCCGGCAGCGCCCCGUCCCGCUGCGUGCCCGGCCGCGAGCCGUGCGUGGCCCCGCUCCCCGUGCCGACGCCUGGAGCCGCCUCGGCUCCGGCCCCGGGCUCCGCGGCCCCGGGGUGCGCGGCUCCCACGUCCCGGUGCUGUGCGUGGGCUGAGGCCGGAGCCCCGGCAGCGGCGGCGGCAGCAGCAGCAGGAGGAGGAGGAGGAGGAGGAGCGGCCGCGGCGGCUGUGGAGGGGAGCGGGCUGCUGCCUGAUGUCACUGCGGUGCAUGGAUCCAAGGUGCUGGUGUCUUGCCCUGCCUGGAGCCUGA